rnacentral:lncRNA from 1 species
CAGUGUAUACGGAUUGUUUUUGGCGAUCACACUAUGACGUCAUUUUAUCGUUAGCAUUCGAAUCUUUUUGCUUAGUCGGCUAUGUGCGUGCUGAGUAUUCGUGUCCGUUUCUGUUUCGUCUUCUCGAGUCCGAUGCAUCACUCUUUGCGCCUUGCACCGCUUAAAGGGCUACUUGCAUUUGAUUUCCUUCGAGUCGAUUUGCCUUGACGAGUUCACGUUCGCUCUCUAAGACUAUGCACAAUCACUGAAGAAGGCUCGAACUGAGUCCGAAACGUUUGAUGUCAAUAAAGAAGAAAGAUCGUUUAAUGUGACCGUUUUCAUGGAUUAUUUUUUUCUUCAAAAACACG